UCUCUACAACCGCACAAAAAAGGUUUUAGAAAUGGUUAAUUCCAUACCUUAAUGGCGAGUCUUAGAUGAUA
rnacentral:sRNA from 1 species